GACAGAGGGUGCAAACGUUGUUCGGAAUUACUGGGCGUAAAGAGCGUGUAGGCUGCUCGGGAAGUCGGAUGUGAAAGCCCUGGGCUCAACCUAGGAAGUGCAUUCGAAACUUCCGAGCUAGAGUUCUGGAGAGGAAGGCGGAAUUCUCGGUGUAGAGGUGAAAUUCGUAGAUAUCGAGAGGAACACCGGUGGCGAAGGCGGCCUUCUGGACAGUGACUGACGCUGAGACGCGAAAGCGUGGGGAGCAAACAGG
rnacentral:rRNA from 1 species